rnacentral:sRNA from 1 species
UGGAAGAUUGGCGGCAGGAGCGCAGAGUGUGCUGGCUUUCCUUCACUUAAUAUUUUGGAUUCAAAAAACUACAAACUGGAUAAUUAAAAUUAUUUUUCACUGGAAACUCGUAAAACACUCAAUGUUACCCGAUUCAACACAUACAAAAGUGUUGCCACUCAAAUACAAUAAUUUGUAUACCGGACCUACGGUUUGCGUAUUGAUCUAUGUCAGCGCGGUGUUGCCAACACCAAUUUAUAUACACAUAAAUUUAAAAUAUGUCAGUUACUCCUACUACCCAGCAAACAAAACGAAAGCUAGCUGAAACAUCACCUGAUUUUGGAAAAAUGGCAAACAACCAGUAGGUAAUAUGGACGUGGAAGAGUUAAUGAAUAUAAUGAAAUUAACUAUGAACAAUCUUUUGGAAGAAAAAUAGGAACUAUACGGCGAAGAAAUUGAAAAGGAAACAUUUGAUGCUAUUUUGGAAAAAAUAAACUCAAAAAACUUUUAAAUCCUCACAUCUCACUACGCCCUAAAGUGAAUAUAGAUAAGAUAAACAAAUUAAAAAUUAUGUCAUAUAACAUAAAUGGAUUCAAAAAUAAAUUCUUGUACCCAAAUUUUUUCAGAUA